AUUGAACGCUGGCGGCAUGCCUUACACAUGCAAGUCGAACGGUAACAGGGAGCUUGCUCCGCUGACGAGUGGCGAACGGGUGAGUAAAGUAUCGGAACGUACCUUUCAGUGGGGGAUAACGCAGCGAAAGUUGCGCUAAUACCGCAUAUUCUGUGAGCAGGAAAGCAGGGGAUCGCAAGACCUUGCGCUGAUUGAGCGGCCGAUAUCAGAUUAGCUAGUUGGUGAGGUAAGGGCUCACCAAGGCGACGAUCUGUAGCGGGUCUGAGAGGAUGAUCCGCCACACUGGAACUGAGACACGGCCCAGACUCCUACGGGAGGCAGCAGUGGGGAAUUUUGGACAAUGGGGGCAACCCUGAUCCAGCCAUGCCGCGUGAGUGAAGAAGGCCUUCGGGUUGUAAAGCUCUUUCAGCCGGGAAGAAAUCGCACAGGCUAAUACCUUGUGUGGAUGACGGUACCGGAAUAAGAAGCACCGGCUAACUACGUGCCAACAGCCGCGGUAAUACGUAGGGUGCGAGCGUUAAUCGGAAUUACUGGGCGUAAAGCGUGCGCAGGCGGUUUUGUAAGACAGGCGUGAAAUCCCCGGGCUCAACCUGGGAACUGCGCUUGUGACUGCAAGGCUAGAGUACGGCAGAGGGGGGUGGAAUUCCACGUGUAGCAGUGAAAUGCGUAGAGAUGUGGAGGAACACCAAUGGCGAAGGCAGCCCCCUGGGUCGAUACUGACGCUCAUGCACGAAAGCGUGGGUAGCAAACAGGAUUAGAUACCCUGGUAGUCCACGCCCUAAACG
rnacentral:rRNA from 1 species